UCAUACACUAAAAGAUUCUUCAAGAAAAAUAAGAAAAAUUAAUAUGAUGCCAACAAUAUUUCAUAUACAAAAAAUUUCUUUCUUAGUUUACCUCUUAUCUCUAAUUUGGAUCGCAUUCGAAUUAGGCAAGAGAUAAUGUUAUGACUCAUCAGCUAUAGCCGCAUACCCUUAUUGGAUCCUCUAUCAUGAUGCCAAAAAUCACAACCCAAAUCCAAUUACGCAUGGAGAAAUUGGCAUGGAUCCAGGUGUGGCGCAAA
rnacentral:lncRNA from 1 species